rnacentral:rRNA from 1 species
CGCCAUCACUCCUACGGGAGGCAGCAGUGGGGAAUAUUGCACAAUGGGGGAAACCCUGAUGCAGCCAUGCCGCGUGUGUGAAGAAGGCCUUCGGGUUGUAAAGCACUUUCAGUAGGGAGGAAGGUAGUGUAGUUAACACCUGCAUUAUUUGACGUUACCUACAGAAGAAGCACCGGCUAACUCCGUGCCAGCAGCCGCGGUAAUACGGAGGGUGCGAGCGUUAAUCGGAAUUACUGGGCGUAAAGCGCAUGCAGGCGGCCUGUUAAGUCAGAUGUGAAAGCCCGGGGCUUAACCUCGGAAUUGCAUUUGAAACUGGCAGGCUAGAGUCUUGUAGAGGGGGUAGAAUUUCAGGUGUAGCGGUGAAAAUGCGUAGAGAUCUGAAGGAAUACCAGUGGCGAAGGCGGCCCCCUGGACAAAGACUGACGCUCAGAUGCGAAAGCGUGGGGAGCAAACAGGAUUAGAUACCCUGGUAG